AGCGAACGCUGGCGGCAGGCCUAACACAUGCAAGUCGAACGGAUCCUUCGGGAUUAGUGGCGGACGGGUGAGUAACACGUGGGAACGUGCCCUUUGGUUCGGAACAACUCAGGGAAACUUGAGCUAAUACCGGAUGUGCCCUUCGGGGGAAAGAUUUAUCGCCAUUGGAGCGGCCCGCGUCUGAUUAGCUAGAUGGUGAGGUAAAGGCUCUCCAAGGCGACGAUCAGUAGCUGGUCUGAGAGGAUGAUCAGCCACAUUGGGACUGAGACACGGCCCAAACUCCUACGGGAGGCAGCAGUGGGGAAUCUUGCGCAAUGGGCGAAAGCCUGACGCAGCCAUGCCGCGUGAAUGAUGAAGGUCUUAGGAUUGUAAAAUUCUUUCACCGGGGACGAUAAUGACGGUACCCGGAGAAGAAGCCCCGGCUAACUUCGUGCCAGCCGCCGCCGUAAUAC
rnacentral:rRNA from 1 species